rnacentral:rRNA from 1 species
CAGUAGCCGCGGUAAUACGGAGGGUGCAAGCGUUAAUCGGAGUUACUGGGCGUAAAGCGUGCGUAGGCGGUUUGUUAAGUCUGUUGUGAAAUCCCCGGGCUCAACCUGGGAAUGGCAAUGGAUACUGGCAAGCUAGAGUGUGUCAGAGGAUGGUGGAAUUCCCGGUGUAGCGGUGAAAUGCGUAGAGAUCGGGAGGAACAUCAGUGGCGAAGGCGGCCAUCUGGGACAACACUGACGCUGAGGCACGAAAGCGUGGGGAGCAAACAGGAUUAGAUACCCCGGUAGUCCCUGUCUCUUAUAC